UCACGAAGUAGAACUUUCCUACCAAAGAAAAAACACUCAACUAAAACUUCCCCCGAAUCAAAAUCGAAAAUUUUUCCCCAAAUCAAAAAAACCUAAGCAUCACCAAAUGAAAACCCUAAGCACCAAUCCCUCUAUGCUUCCACACCUUCCACGCUGAAGGCAUCAACACCUGACUCUAGUCCAACCUCUCGUGUCCGCUCUACGGUCUCUAUCGCCAUUGCGGUGGCUGCGAAUACGCCGUGUGCUACGACAUCUUCCACCUCAAAUAGCAAUAUCAAUCGCCGUAAAGCCGAAGGCGCUAACGCCAUCACAGCUUGCGGCGAUUCACGGUCCCAAGCUGAGGUUGCGUUCAACUACGUCCGCUAGAGGAGUUAGGAUGAUACGAAGGAGUCGACGAAUGACGUUGUUUCGAAGCUCUAGAAAGUUCUUCAGUGGUGGCGGGAGUAGUCGGCGGAGCGACAUUAUUCCAGUGGUGCCUCUACCAUAUUCUUCAAAACCCUACCCUUCACCGUGCAUUGGCCCAUUAUUGGAACCACCUUCACUGCAUAAUCUCGCAACCACAACCGGGUCAUUCCGCGAGCACCACCGCGUCAUCUCAUGACCACAAUCUUGUCUUCUCACCUUAAGGCCUCAGAAAAAGUUGUUGCUGCUUUUGAAAUGGAGUAAGCUAGAAGUCAAAAAGAGGUAAUGCACUAUUUCUGAGCUUGAGAAAAGUAAAUUGUAAUUUCCUUAGAGUUGUUGAUGGUGGCAUCGAGACUUUUUUUCUUUUUAAGAAACAAAUUGAUUCACUUGAGGCAACAUCGACGCCAUAGGAGGAUGAGCUUAAGAGAUUGGAAGAGAUGAAGAAAAUUGUUUCUGUCGAUGAAAAGGAGAUUAAGAGGCUAACUAAUGGAUCUAAACAAUUGAAGGAAAAGAUAAUUGACAAACAUACCAUUGCCUUGGAGGAAGCAAAAUCCAAGUACAACAAGAUGAAAAAAAAUGGAUGAAUUGCAUGCAUCAGAGGUCGAUUCUGACUUUAAAUUAAAAGACAUGAAGAAAGCAUACAAAGAAUUAGAAAUGAAAGGGAAAGGUCAGAUGCUUUAGAACUAAAUCAGCCAUGGGACCUUCGCUGUCCAACAGUGUGAUUGAACAUUGUUUAUUAUUUGGCCUUUUUGUUUAACAUUGUUAUUUUCGUUUCUAUUUCCACUUCUUAAUUCCUUAUUUUGUGAUAAAAUGAUAGGUGGAAGGUCCUAAUUUAGUAAUACUUUACAGGAAUUGAAUGCUUAUUGGUACUAAACUCAACUAUUAGCUUUGUCACUUUGUGAAUUUGUGGAAGCGGAUAAAUAGAAGUUGCAUUGACUUGUUAAUUUUUUUCCUA